GACGGAGCUGCGGUGGCGUCUCCACACGCAGCCAUGAAGUUGAAGGACACAAAAUCAAGGCCAAAGCAGUCAAGCUGUGGCAAAUUUCAGACAAAGGGAAUCAAAGUUGUGGGAAAAUGGAAGGAAGUGAAGAUUGACCCAAAUAUGUUUGCAGAUGGACAGAUGGAUGACUUGGUGUGCUUUGAGGAAUUGACAGAUUACCAGUUGGUCUCCCCUGCCAAGAAUCCCUCCAGUCUCUUCUCAAAGGAAGCACCCAAGAGAAAGGCACAAGCUGUUUCAGAAGAAGAGGAGGAGGAGGAGGGAGAGUCUAGCUCACCAAAGAAAAAGAUCAAGUUGAAGAAAAGUAAAAAUGUAGCAACUGAAGGAACCAGUACCCAGAAAGAAUUUGAAGUGAAAGAUCCUGAGCUGGAGGCCCAGGGAGAUGACAUGGUUUAUGAUGAUCCGGAGGCUGGGGAGAUGACAUCAGAAAACCUGGUCCAAACUGCUCCAAAAAAGAAGAAAAAUAAAGGGAAAAAAGGGUUCGAGCCUUCUCAGAGCACUGCUGCCAAGGUGCCCAAAAAAGCGAAGACAUGGAUUCCUGAAGUUCAUGAUCAGAAAGCAGAUGUGUCAGCUUGGAAGGACCUGUUUGUUCCCAGGCCGGUUCUCCGAGCACUCAGCUUUCUAGGCUUCUCUGCACCCACACCAAUCCAAGCCCUGACCUUGGUACCUGCCAUCCGUGACAAACUGGACAUCCUUGGGGCUGCUGAGACAGGUAAGGGCAACUCCGGCCAAAGCAGGAUUGCUUCUGGAUUGAGCCCAUAGCUGCUAAUA
rnacentral:sRNA from 1 species